rnacentral:rRNA from 1 species
GGGGAGUAUGCACGCAAGUGUGAAACUCAAAGGAAUUGACGGGGGCCCGCACAAGCGGUGGAGUAUGUGGUUUAAUUCGAAGCAACGCGAAGAACCUUACCAGGCCUUGACAUGGGAAGCGAAGGCUUAGAGAUAAGCUGGAGGUUAUCUUCCACACAGGUGGUGCAUGGUUGUCGUCAGCUCGUGUCGUGAGAUGUUCAGUUAAGUCUGGCAACGAGCGCAACCCUUAUGAUAUGUUGCUAACAUUGAGUUGAGGACUCAUAUCAGACUGCCGGUGACAAACCGGAGGAAGGCGGGGAUGACGUCAAAUCAUCAUGCCCCUUAUGGCCUGGGCUACACACGUACUACAAUGGCGUCUACAGCGCGAAGCAAACCAGUGAUGGCAAGCGAACCGUCAAAAGGCGUCUUAGUUCGGAUUGAAGCCUGCAACCCGGCUUCAUGAAGGCGGAAUCGCUAGUAAUCGCGGAUCAGCAUGCCGCGGUGAAUACGUUCCCGGGCCUUGUACACACCGCCCGUCAAACCAUGGAAGCCGGCAACGCCCGAAGCCGGCGGCAUAACCCGCAAGGGAGUGAGCCGUCGAAGGCGGGGCCGACGACUGGGGUUAAGUCGUAACAAGGUA